AGAGUAGCUCAAUUGGUUAGAGCGCCAGAUUGUGGUCCUGGAGGUCGAGGGUUCGAUUCCCUUCUCU
rnacentral:tRNA from 1 species